rnacentral:tmRNA from 1 species
GGGGGCGAUCGGUUUCGACGUGGGGACUGAAGGUUAAUCUGCGUGUGCUGGCACUCGGCCCAGUUCAAAACCGAGCCGUGCUAAUUGCGAACGACAACGCAAUCGCUCUCGCGGCCUGAAAAACCGUGAAGCCGUCCAACCGUGAGAUAGUCCUGCUAGCGGAAGGGCGUCAGCACUAGGGCUGGGCCACCCGAGGAAGCCCUCGAUAGGGUGGCCGAGAAAAAGUGAGGGAUAGGUCGUGGCCGAAUCCACGAAGCCCGGUCCCGGGGUCAAUUGGGACUACGCACGUGAACGAAGGUUAGCUGGACGCCUCGCGGACCCGGGUUCGAUUCCCGGCGCCUCCACCU